rnacentral:rRNA from 1 species
UACGAAGGGGGCUAGCGUUGUUCGGAAUUACUGGGCGUAAAGCGCGCGCAGGCGGCUAUCCAAGUCAGUGGUGAAAGCCCGGAGCUCAACUCCGGAACUGCCAUUGAAACUGUUUAGCUUGAGGAUGAGAGAGGUGAGUGGAAUUCCCAGUGUAGAGGUGAAAUUCGUAGAUAUUCGGAAGAACACCAGUGGCGAAGGCGGCUCACUGGACCGGUAUUGACGCUGAGGUGCGAAAGCGUGGGGAGCAAACAGG